UAAAGCUAUAUGUUUCCGAAGAUCAGUGCAUUUUUGUAAUAAUUUUUCAACUUGGUGAUCUUGUGUUCUGAGUUGGUUUGACAGAGAUAAGAAUGAUGAGGCAGGCAGAAAUGCAGACCAGGAUGCCGAUUUGCGUGAAAGUCUUGACGAACUGAAAAGAAUGGAGGCGUUGCUCCUGGAAAAUGAGAAUGCCCUCAAAGAGAUCCUCAGAGAUGGAGAAGGAAACGAGGAGGAAGUCCGUCGAGUCCAAGAAGAAAUAAAUUCAUUAAAAGCUUUAAUCAAUGAUCUUAAUCACUCGAAAUAGAAGAAGUCGAUGCCACCAACAUUCCGAGAGCCCUGACCGCUCAAUCUCAAGCUUGUGACAAAAAAUAAAACUCGACAUUUCUGGAUUGCUUUCGUCAAAUCUUCGGAUCGUGCUUUCUGUGGGAAUGAUAGUUUCUAUAUCUUACUUCCGUUUUUUUCCUGGAUUGCUGUUAAUAGUGCAAGAUCAGUCAAGGCUUAGGUGUGUGGUUGAAUGGCAAGCCUCCUUGCUUGCUCCUUGUUUUGUUAAUGUACCGAAAAAUAAGCGAAA